CCCAAUUCAAUUUCUGGUUCUGAUCUAAUCUACUUCCUGGUUCGGAUUUGAUUCCAUUUCUGAUUCAUGUCUGGGUCCAUUGCAUACCGGUUCAGAUCUGGGUCAAUUGCAUACUGAUUCAGGUCUGACCCAAUUUCUGGUUCAGGUCUGGGUCAAUUGCAUACUGGUUCAGUUCUGACCCAACUACUGAUUCAGGUCUGGGUCAAUUGCAUAUUGGUUCAGAUCUGACCCAACUACUGGUUCAGGCAUGGGUCAAUUGCAUACUGGUUUAGUUUAAUCCUGGUUUUAAGAAUAUUGGGCUCGGACCAGGGCCCAGCUCGGCUUCGGACCUUUAAAGCCCGGUUCAUAUGAAGCCCACUACCGGAAUCAGGCCCAAUUCGGCCCACAGCAAUUUUUUAUCUUAUUUUUCUUUCUUCUU
rnacentral:lncRNA from 1 species